AUUGCCCUGUGAUCGAGAAGACCGCGCGCCCUGCCUGGGAAGACGUCUGAUCAACGCCUGCCCUGCUGAGGGACCCGCAUCCACAACGCAGCUGAACCAGCGCAUCUCCAUGCACCACGUGGGAAUCAACGGUGGUGGUUCUCUCUGGCAACCUACCUCUGAGAUGGGACUCCACCAGGCCCUGAACCCCUCCGCCUGGGGGAUCUGCUGGAGCGGGCGUGUGGGCAGGCCCGCCCUCCCUAUAGGCCUACGCAGAGUACGCAGAGUGCGUAGGACACCAAGUAGGCCUACCUGACUGGGUCACCAAAAAUUAAGGUUUGUAAAAAAAAAAAAGGAAGAAAAAAAUAUACAUUAAUGAAAUUAAAAAUAAUAUGUAAAUUAGUUAUGAAGAGGCCCACCGUUGUUUGGUCUUAAUUGUAUAACUUAUCACUCAAUUUCGACAAAUUUGAUGUUUUUACCUAAUUUGUAAAAAGGGGCUCUCCUCUCCCUCCCCCCCCCCCCCCCGCUCGCGUAGGACACCGGAACGGCCAGCAGUGGCCCUGCGGGUGGGAUUCAUAAAACAGAGAUUAAUCCGCUGCAGCAUUCAGACACAUGUUCAAACACGUGUCAAGUUCAAACGCGUAUCAUAGUUGUACCAGUUGUCCGACUAAAAAAUCUAAGCAAACUGCUUUUUAAAAUACAUAGCUGUGUAUAUUAUAGAACAGCACAGACCUGUAUACCAGUUAUAAUUAUCAUCUGUAUAUAUAUUGAAAUGAAUAUUUUUUGCAAUUUCAUCUUUUGCAAAAAAUGCUUCUAGAUGCCUAAACCUAGUUUACUUUAACGUCCAAUAACUGAUCAAUAUAUAUAAAAUAAUGUAUUCGGUCAAGGAUCAGCUGAUCAAAAUAACGGAACUACAGGUGGCUUGAUUAAUGGAGCCCCCUUGUGGCUGACAAUGGUACAAGAACAUGAAGACAAUAAUACAUGUAUAGGCUAUAGUUACCUUAAACAUGAUGUCCACCGAAUCUUUUUUUUUUUGCUUCUCCGGGUUGUAGACGAUUUAAUUUAGGAAAACACAACUCUUUGCAAGCCAGGUCAAGAAGCAGACAAGGGAAUUAAGAUUCAAAAUAAAAGUUUUAUUAAAAACAAAUGC
rnacentral:lncRNA from 1 species